CGGAUAACGGAUGAACGACGACGCAUCCACUGGCGACAGUAGCCAAGCUCUGCGAUUAGGACCGUCGGGACUUUCGGACGAGGAAGACGCAGCGGCUAGCGUGGGUCGACCCUCGGCAUUCCGCGAGACGUCUCGGCCAGCGUGUAGCCCACCCUUCGCAGGCCGCGUUCGGACACCACCCCGGAGCCUCGUUCCCUUUUUGGCCCAAACCGGAGGCGCGCCAGAAACCCUGCGCCGGCGGUGUUCUUCGCAGCCAUUGGUUUCUGCUCCAUCGGCGGCUUCGCGAACCUCCGGCUCGACUAAGUGCAGCUUGGCAGUGCGACUUGGCGGCUCCACAUCCGAAUAGUAUAUCGAUUCCUAGGUUUUUGACCAUUCUGGAGCCAUUCCCACCCUUGUUUCAACCAUCUGAGGAGGUAGUUAAGCGCUGGAGUUAACGUUGUGGGUGACUUCAGCCAAGGCCAAGAAGGUAAGUAACCUUACUGCUGGCGUUAGUUAUGUAUGUAUGUUGGUGCGUGCCCUGUGGCCCUUGCGUGCACCAUAUGUUGUUGCUGUAUGCUAGGUUAGAUGUUUCUUGCAGUGAAAUGCUACGCAUGCUAUGUUUAUGUAUGUGAUUCUGUCAGUGAAUUGCUAUGUAUGCCAUGUUUAUGAAUAUGAUGUUGUGAAACGGUUUGUUGCCCUGUAUGUAUGAUGAGCUUGAUUGACACGUCAUGAUUGUAACGAGAAUCCCGCAUGCCAUGAAUGAGGUGGCUAGUAUGCUAUGAUAUGCUUGCUCAAUGUGGACCCAGUUAUGCUAUGUAAGGCGGCGAGGGGAUGGAACGUUGUAUGUAUAAUGCCAUGGAGGCCCUCCUUUGUCCGUGGCGUCCGGUAUUGUAUGUUAUACAUACCCGACCAAGCCAGGCCUAGGUAGUUCGGUGCGAGUUCGCCUGAUGGGCCCACAGUCACACACGUGGGCCAUGUGUGGGAAAUUACCAUGCAUCCACCCCUGCCCGGACAAAGCAAGGGCCUAAGGCCAUGGGAAGGAAUGGAAGACAGACCCCUCUCUCAGUUUCGUUCUUCUAACACUGUGCGGCAUGUAUGGUUGUUAUGUGUGGCAUGUAUGGUUAUUAUAUGCAACA